rnacentral:misc_RNA from 1 species
GUGAAUCAUCGAAUUUUUGAACGCAAAUUGCACUCUCCGGCUUUCCGGGAGAGUAUGCCUGUUUGAGGUUUAGCCUAAAAAAAUUCUACAUCGUUGCUGUUGCUUGGUGUCGUUUGUCGGAGAUUGGUACAUCUUAAACCCUUUCGGUUUACGCGAAUUAUAAUUUUGUUUUACGAUUCCACGACCGUUUCUAAGAUUUUACUUCUUAUACACGUUUAAGUUUUCGAU